AGGAUGCAAAUCUAAAUUUAUUGAAAUGAACCCGCCCUUUUGGUUGUCACAAAAUUACCAAUAAGUGCCAGCGAAACUGGACGUGACUAUCGUCCGGAGGCCCAGCAGGUCGUGUCGACCGAAAGCAGCAAAAUGUGCAAAUCAAUAAAAAAACAUAAAUAAUAAAUUAUUUUUAGACUUAGUCCAUCCAGUCUUCAAGGCAGGUUAGAUAGUAUUGGUCUAAACCGUCCCAUUGCGAACAAUCAUAAAUAAAAAUAAUAAAUCUCGGCAUCGGUAAACAUUGCGGUUCCUCGGAUCAGACGGUUGGCACAGCACUAACAGCAACACCAGCAGCACAGGGACUUGUACUCGGCAGUUCACCGGACAUUUCAUCCCAUCCUGUUACGGCGUUUACAUUCCGGUUUCUCCGAUAAUUGGUUGUUGCAGCUUAAACAGUGCAGCUCCAGUGCCCAUUCGGAAGACACCGUCGACGGUUAGAUCUCCAUGACGUCUCCUGCACAAAGGUCACCAAAGCUAUCGCACGCAGGUUCCAGUUGUCGAACGGCAUUAACCCAUUCCGAGAACGGCUCUAAUCACAACAGAUGCAGCAGCAAAUGCAAUCGUUGCCACUGGGAUUCAAUCCUGCUGGUAGUCGAGGCGAAGGCGCAGUUGCUGAUGUCGGAUUCCAAUCAAGAAAAAACCUCCAGGGUCCUCUAGCCUUUCUGGAGAAAACUGCUAGCAACUUAUUUUCAGUCGGAAUGUGGAAUGAUUGACGGCCAUACGGGUGGAAAGUUCGCAAUUCGAUUUCACCUUCCCCCAAUUGUUACCACUAAGUCAUCCUAGCUGCAAUCCGGAUUUACCCUUAAAACGACGCUGUUUGAAGACCAAAGUUGAAGGAUUUGUGAGCAGUUAAUUGUACCGACGUAUUAACUUUGAGAAGAUGAUUGUUGGACAACUCCACAAUGCAGCCUGUUUGCAACCCGAAUCAGUUCGAGAUUCCCAGAAUUUGUACGGAAACUUUCUCGACAAUAUCGCUUCCGGUUUAGUUGCUUAAGCUCGGCUGAGCAGGCUGUUUUUGAACCGUGUACACGUCUGUCUUUGCUGAGGACCAGGUGAUUUUCAAGGCUGUCCAGAACGUGCUGAAAUCGGUUCGCACCGAGCAUCUUAGCGGACAAUAGACCACCAACGACUUUACCCAGGCUGGAGAUUCGAUGCCAAAGUUCUUUUCUUCGUUCGUCAACAUUGAAAUUUAUAAGGUAUUCGAUCUGUAUUGCGUGCAGUAUGCUACUUAAUCGAAAUUAACUAGGCAUGCGUCAGCCGUUUAAACUUAAAUUUUUAUCUGUUAAGCAAUUUGAACCAAAUCUAAUUUUUUAUUCACUUUAUCAAUCAAAAGCAGUAAUUGAUUUAAUAAUGUCUUGGUUAAUUUAUUUAAAAAAUAUUUAAUCAAAAAAUAUAUUUCAAGUUGAACUACAAAUACAAAUACACGUAUUAAGACUAUUAAUUUGUUAAAAAUUUUGACUGAACAUUUAAUGCCCAUCUGUUCAUUAGAAUUGAAUUUAGAUUGAAUCUUUAAUUAAGUCUUAUAAUGUGAUAAUAAAGUUAA